CUCCCCAAGAACUCAGCAGCUUUGGCGGUAGCUUGCUCCUAGCCCUCCAUUCAGUAGCUAGCAGUCACCCAAAGGCAGGCUAGUGACCUUCCUGAAGUCUGGUUUUCUGAACUUGAAGACGGAGCAUUCAGACCACAUCGUAAGGUUCUCACCAGCAGUGGGUGGGGACAAUGCAUUGUGAGGUGAGGACUCCUGGAGACCACAGGCUUCCAGUGUAUUCAGGCUGUAGGUAGAAUUCAGCUCUUUGCCAAACCGUCAAGGUGGACAGUACUUACCUUGUUGGGUAGUGGGAUUUUAGUGAGGUGACAUGUGUGGGCAAGCUUUAUCAACAGCUUGUGUCAUGUUAUCCAUCCCAGAAGAUGCUAGGCACUACAAUGGAAAUGGAACAGGUCUCCAGUUAAACAGCGCGAGGAUUAUGAAGCUGGCGGAGAUACGGGCAGAUUUAGAAGGCCAUGCCGACCACCUUACAGAGAAAUUGCCGUGUCUAGGUGCCCACUCUAACUGUCAGAAAUCCUCAUACCAGCCUUUGUGGUCCUGGAAGGAGGCCUAUCUGUGGUAGAACAUUGAAUGAACGAAGGAAUCCAAGAGGCACACUGAGUGGGAGUGAGUUUUUG
rnacentral:lncRNA from 1 species